CAUCAAGAGAGUUCGUGGAGGGUACACUGACAUGCACAGCAGCUCCUGACACUAUUUGAAAUCGCCAGACCAGAGUGCACACAGGUGGCAUGACGGCUUCAUCUGGAGACAAGGACGAGUUGUAUUCCGGGGAUAGCAUCUCAGGGGAAGAAGCUACAGCAUUGCCCUGAUCUCCGUCUUCAGCCGAGGACAGUUGAGAAGGAACUGAGGGAGUCGGGCCAUGUGCGCGCUGCACAGACUCAAAUGACGCCGCAAGACAACAGCUGCGCUGACCAGGCACUUAUACCGAAGAUCUCUGAUCAACGGCGCCGGGACGCACUGUCACCUGGAGUGGAACACUCACAGGGACAGCACUCAAAGAAGAAAGUAAACUAACCCUCAGCAGGGUAAAGAACUUGUCCGACAUUGUCAAACAAAUAUUUUGUUCCUAUUCACAGAUUUACUUGUAAACUGAUUACAGUAUAUAUAGGGCUUGCUUCAUCCCAUGUGCAUGGGAAAAGGGGUGUCAAUCUGCAAUCCUUCUGCACCCACAGAGGCAACUGUGCCCCAGGGAAAUUCUGUCUCAAGAAGUCUUAGCCCCCACUUCCUAGCCAGAUGGUUCUAAGACUCCGCCAGCUGUGGGCACCCUGGCGGAACAGGAGUUGAUGGCAGCUUCUACCACUGUCUGCUCCUCAC